rnacentral:rRNA from 1 species
AUUGAACGCUGGCGGCAUGCUUUACACAUGCAAGUCGAACGGCAGCGCGGGCUUCGGCCUGGCGGCGAGUGGCGAACGGGUGAGUAAUACAUCGGAACGUGCCCAGUAGUGGGGGAUAGCUCGGCGAAAGCCGGAUUAAUACCGCAUACUACCUGCGGGUGAAAGCGGGGGAUCUUCGGACCUCGCGCUAUUGGAGGGGCCGAUGGCAGAUUAGCUAGUUGGUGGGGUAAGGGCCUACCAAGGCGACGAUCGGUAGCUGGUCUGAGAGGACGACCAGCCACACUGGGACUGAGACACGGCCCAGACUCCUACGGGAGGCAGCAGUGGGGAAUUUUGGACAAUGGGCGAAAGCCUGAUCCAGCAAUGCCGCGUGUGUGAUGAAGGCCUUCGGGUUGUAAAGCACUUUUGGCGGGAACGAAAAGGACUGUGCCAAUACCACGGUUCGAUGACGGUACCCGCAGAAUAAGCACCGGCUAACUACGUG